UACAGAGGGUGCAAGCGUUGUUCGGAAUCAUUGGGCGUAAAGGGCGCGUAGGCGGUUGAUCAAGUUGAAUGUGAAAGCCCGGGGCUCAACCUCGGAAGUGCAUUCAAAACUGGUUAACUAGAGUUCCGCAGAGGAUGGUAGAAUUCCCAGUGUAGAGGUGAAAUUCGUAGAUAUUGGGAGGAAUACCAGUGGCGAAGGCGACCAUCUGGACGGAAACUGACGCUGAGGCGCGAAAGCGUGGGUAGCAAACAGG
rnacentral:rRNA from 1 species